rnacentral:rRNA from 1 species
UACAGAGGAGGCAAGCGUUGUUCGGAAUCACUGGGCUUAAAGCGCGUGUAGGCGGCGCGAUAAGUGUUCUGUGAAAUCCCACGGCUCACCCGUGGAACUGCAGGGCAUACUGUCGUGCUUGAGGCAGGUAGGGGCAACUGGAACUCUCGGUGGAACGGUGAAAUGUGUAGAUAUCGAGAGGAACACCGGUGGCGAAGGCGGGUCUCUGGGCCGAUAUUGACGCUGAGGAGCGAAAGCGUGGGGAGCGAACAGG